ACGUUCUGGUUUGCUUGUGUACAAGAAAGCACCUGGCUUACCUUAUCCUAUCCAACUCUCUGUCUCUUCCCUUUCUCUCUCUAUAUCCUCUUCCCAAGCAACAGUACUCUCCUAUCUCUCUCAUUCUCUCCCCUUGUCCCCAGCUUUUCUUUCUUUCUUUCACUUGCACUUUUUAGUUUUCCCCUGAUGCUCACCAAUAUCGUAUUCCCUCUUAUUCCUUCACCAUAAAAGUUUUCGAGCGUUGGACGGAGAUUUCUCUCAAAAUUUGCAUGCAGAGAAAUUUAGUCGAUAAAUUCAAUCUGGGUCAUAGUUUUUAUCGUCAAAGAACCGAUUGAAGCAUUCAACACUUGCAUCUUUAUAAGCAAUCCCACACUUGUGGUGCAUAAUGGCUCCCAAGGCAGGCAAGGCAAAACCGCACAAAGCCAAGGGUGAGAAGAAGAAGAAAGAAGAGAAAGUUUUGCCGACUGUAAUCGAAAUCACCGUCGAAGCACCGGAGGAAUCCCAAGUCACUCUCAAGGGGAUAUCUACGGACAGGAUCUUGGAUGUAAGAAAGCUUUUGGGGGUCCACGUCGAGACAUGUCAUUUGACCAACAUCUCCUUAUCCCACGAGGUACGAGGACCUCAACUCAAGGACUCCGUUGACAUCGCCUCCCUCAAACCAUGCCACCUCUCCAUCAUCGAAGAGGACUACACGGAGGAGCUAGCGAUCGCGCACAUCCGACGACUCCUCGACAUCGUUGCCUGCACAACCUCCUUCGGUUCGUCCAAACCUUCUGCUCGAACCGUUCCUAAAGAACCGGGUUCUAAGGAAUCCGCUGCCGCCGACAACGGUCCAAGCCAUGGGAGUGAUUCUUCCGACAACUCGAAGGCGAAGGAAAAAACCGAAGCGGCGGCGGUGACGGUGGUGUCGAUGUGUCCUCCGCCGCAGCUCCGCCAGUUCUACGAUUUCUUCUCCUUCUCUCACCUCACCCCUCCUAUCCAAUAUAUUAGAAGAUCAACUCGUCCAUUCCUGGAGGAUAAAACAAAAGAUGACUUUUUCCAAAUUGAUGUACGAGUUUGUAGUGGGAAACCGGUGACCAUAGUUGCCUCUCAAAAAGGGUUUUACCCAGCCGGAAAGCGCCCUCUUAUGUGUCACUCUUUGGUCACUCUUCUGCAGCAAAUUAGCAGGGUCUUUGAUGCUGCGUACAAGGCUCUUAUGAAAGCUUUCACUGAGCACAAUAAAUUUGGCAACUUACCUUAUGGUUUUCGGGCAAAUACAUGGGUUGUUCCACCUAUAGUAGCGGAUAACCCAUCAGUUUUUCCCCCACUUCCAGUGGAAGAUGAAAACUGGGGAGGAAAUGGAGGUGGACAAGGAAGAGACAGUAAACAUGAAUAUAGGCAAUGGGCAAAAGAGUUUGCAAUUUUGGCAGCAAUGCCGUGCAAAACAGCAGAAGAGAGGCAAAUUCGAGAUCGGAAAGCCUUUCUGUUUCACAGUUUAUUUGUCGACGUUUCAGUUUUUGAAGCAGUCGCAGCAAUCAAGAACAUCAUUGAAACCAAUCAGAAUACUUUAAGUGACCCUUCUGCUUCAAUUUUGCAAGAAGAAAAGGUGGGAGAUUUGAUUAUUAAGGUGACACGAGAUGCUCCUGAUGCAAGUGUGAAAUUGGAUUGUAAAAAUGAUGGGAGUCGGGUUCUUGGAAUGUCAGAAGAGGAGCUUGCUCAGAGAAAUUUACUUAAAGGCAUAACUGCUGAUGAAAGUGCAACUGUUCAUGAUACUUCUACGUUAGGUGUUGUGGUUGUCAGACACUGUGGCCACACAGCUGUAGUAAAAGUUUCAGCUGAAGUAAAUUGGGAGGGGAAUCUUAUUCCUCAGGAUAUCGACAUUGAGGACCAGCCUGAAGGAGGCGCCAAUGCCUUAAAUGUCAAUAGCUUAAGGUUGUUAUUGCACAAGUCAUCCACACCUCAAUCAUCAGCUCAGCGAUCACAGAGUGUGGAUUUUGAGAAUUUACAUUCUGCUAGGGCUUCAGUUAGGAAAGUGUUAGAAGAUAGCUUGCAGAAGUUGCAGGAUGAACCCUCUAAAAACUCCACGUCUAUCAGAUGGGAGCUAGGAGCAUGCUGGGUACAACACCUCCAAAAUCAGGCUUCUGGGAAAACCGAGUCUAAGAAAAAUGAAGAUGUUAAGCCUGAGCCUGCCGUGAAAGGUCUUGGAAAGCAAGUUGCAUUACUAAAGGAGAUUAAAAAGAGAACAGAUAUAAAAGGUGGUAAAACUGAACAUAGUAAGGAGGUUUCUCCAGGCAACAACCUUGAUAUGAACAGGAAAUCAGAAGUCAGAAAUCAGAAGGAACUAGAGAAGCAAGAUGAAGAAAUGCAAAUAAUGUGGAAGAAACUGCUUCCUGAAGCAGCAUAUUUGCGACUAAAAAAGUCAGAUACUGGUCUUCACCUUAAGUCGCCUGAUGAGUUGAUUGAAAUGGCACAUAAAUACUAUGCUGAUACUGCUCUUCCAAAGCUGGUGGCAGAUUUUGGCUCCCUUGAACUUUCACCAGUUGAUGGAAGGACUUUGACAGAUUUUAUGCAUACGAGGGGUUUACAAAUGUGUUCUCUAGGACGUGUGGUUGAGCUUGCAGACAAGCUGCCUCAUGUGCAAUCACUCUGUAUACAUGAAAUGGUUGUUCGUGCCUAUAAACACGUGUUGCAGGCUGUUGUAUCAGCGGUUGAUAGUGUUAGUGACUUGGCUGCUUCAGUAGCGGCAUGUUUAAAUAUAUUGUUGGGAACACCAUUAAUUGAGAAUGGUGACAUAGAUAUCAUUAAUGAUGAUAAAUUAAAAUGGAGAUGGGUGGAAACUUUCCUUUCAAAGAGGUUUGGGUGGCAGUGGAAACCAGAAAGUGGCCAGGAUCUGAGAAAAUUUGCCAUUCUUCGUGGACUGUCCCACAAGGUUGGGCUUGAGCUUGUUCCUAGGGACUAUGACAUGGAUACUCCAUCUCCUUUUAGGAAGUCAGAUAUCAUAAGCAUGGUCCCUCUAUACAAGCAUGUUGCAUGUUCAUCAGCUGAUGGACGUACAUUGUUGGAAUCAUCUAAGACUUCCCUGGAUAAAGGUAAAUUGGAGGAUGCAGUCAAUUAUGGCACUAAGGCACUUUCAAAGCUUGUGUCAGUCUGUGGUCCUUACCAUCGGAUGACAGCAGGAGCAUACAGUCUUCUGGCUGUUGUGCUUUACCAUACUGGAGACUUCAAUCAGGCAACCAUUUAUCAGCAGAAAGCAUUGGAUAUAAAUGAAAGAGAGCUUGGACUUGACCAUCCAGAUACAAUGAAAAGUUAUGGAGACCUAGCUGUCUUCUACUACCGCCUUCAACAUACAGAGUUAGCCUUGAAGUAUGUCAAUCGUGCAUUGUAUCUUUUGCAUUUAACGUGUGGGCCAUCUCAUCCAAAUACGGCAGCCACCUAUAUUAAUGUAGCAAUGAUGGAAGAAGGGUUGGGAAAUGUUCAUGUUGCUCUUAGAUAUCUCCAUGAGGCUCUCAAAUGCAACCAAAGACUACUUGGAGCUGAUCAUAUACAGACUGCUGCCAGCUACCACGCCAUUGCUAUUGCUCUCUCUUUGAUGGAAGUUUACUCGUUAAGUGUUCAGCAUGAACAAACUACCCUACAAAUACUGCAGGCAAAACUAGGGUCUGAGGACCUACGUACACAGGAUGCGGCUGCCUGGCUUGAGUACUUUGAGUCCAAGGCCCUUGAGCAGCAAGAAGCUGCACGUAAUGGUACUCCUAAGCCCGAUGCAUCAAUCUCCAGCAAAGGCCAUUUAAGUGUAUCGGACCUUUUGGAUUAUAUAACCCCAGAUGCAGAUAUGAAAGCAAGAGAUGCCCAAAAGAAAGCCCGUGCGAAGAUGAAGGGCAAACCAGGCCAAAACUGGGAGACAGUCACAGACGAAUACCAGAAUGAUGAGAUUUCAUCACCAACUUAUCCUGUUAUGGAGAAUUCAAAUGAUAAAGAAAACAAAUCUGAAGCUCAAUUCAUGGAAUCUAGUAAUGAGAAACCCGAUUCACUUCUCCCAGAUCAGCCAGUGUUCAUUAAAAAUGAUGGCCAAGAACUGGAUGACACCUCAGAUGAAGGAUGGCAAGAAGCUGUUCCUAAAGGUCGUUCACCUGCAGCUCGUAAAUCUUCUGCUUCAAGAAGGCCAAGUCUAGCAAAACUGAAUACAAACUUUAUGAAUGUGUCCCAAUCCUCAAGAUACCGAGGAAAGCCCAAUAAUUUCACAUCUCCACGAACAAAACCCAAUGAGCCUACUGCUUCAGCUGGACCUAGUCCUCCUGCUUCAAAAAAGUUUGUUAAAAGUUCAAGCUUCGGUCCAAAGCUAAAUAACCCAAGCAACACAACCGGUGGAAUGGAGAGACUGGUAAACCCAAAAUCAGCCCCAGCUAGCCCAGCUUCAACUGAUCAAGCUACCAAGCCUACUCCAGUGGCAUCUCCGAUCAGCGUGCAGGCAGCUGGAAAACUAUUCUCCUACAAGGAAGUUGCUUUGGCCCCACCUGGGACAAUUGUAAAGGCAGUGGCAGAGCAGUUGCCAAAAGGAAAUCCUCUCCCAGAACAAAAUUCUCAGGCAAGCCAAGAGACAGCAGCACUAGACAUUACACCUAGUGAUUUGGCAACAUUAACAGUUGCCAAGGAUGAAGUUCUGGAAGCCACUGGAGAAAAAGAGUUUCUAGGUUCUGAGACAGAAAUCAAAAGCACUGCUAAUGAAGAAAAAAAAGCACAGACCAGGAAGUCAGUGGCGAUUGAAGCUUUGGAGGAAACAAAGGACACUGUAAUUAAAGACAUAAAUAUAGAAGCUGGAGCAGUAGAAGUAAAAACUGAUGUUGAAACCACAAAAACAGAAGCUGCAAAUGGAUUCGCAAAUUCUGAUUCCUGCAAGGAUUCAAAUAGUGUUAGUUUAAAAAUUGAAGCACUGGAAACUGGAUCUUUAGACAAAUGCCAAGUUACAUUUUCCAAUGCAGAACUGCUGGCUGUUGUAACUGAUAAUACAGCUCAGUUGCCACAAAAAGAGGCCUCUAUUCCCUCAGGAGAAGUGGCAGAUGAAGAUUCUCAAGAGCUAUCUGGUGGUGAAGUGAGUGUUAGGCAGUUGCCAACUGAAGGAGAAAAGCAAGAUGAAGCAGAAACUGGUAAAGAGACAACAAAGAAACUUUCUGCAGCUGCACCCCCAUUUAAUCCAUCCACAAUUCCAGUUUUUAGCUCAGUUACAGUUCCUGGUUUCAAGGAUCAUGGAGGAAUCCUGCCCCCACCAGUGAAUAUACCUCCAAUGCUUCAAGUCAGCCCUGUCCGUAGGUCACCUCAUCAAUCUGCGACAACUAGAGUUCCAUACGGCCCUAGGCUCUCUGGAGGCUAUAACAGAUCCGGAAAUCGGGUUCCACGCAACAAGUCUAGCUACAACAGCAGUGAACAUUCUGGAGAAGGGAACCACUACAGUCCUCCAAGAAUAAUGAACCCACAUGCAGCUGAGUUUGUACCUGCCCAACCUUGGAUUCCCAAUGGCUACCCUGUCUCUCCUAAUGGAUUUUUGGCUUCUCCAAAUGGCAUGCCAAUUUCACCAAAUGGUUACCCCAUGUCCCCAGUGACAGCAAAUGGUUAUCCGGCAACACCAAAUGGUGUUCCUGUGACUCAAAAUGGAUUUCUGGCAACUCCAGUAGGAUCAGUAGAACUGCCAGUUGUUGUAACUGUUGAUAUUGGAGCUGAAAACAAAAGUGAAGCAGUAGCAGGGCAGACUCCUCAGAGUUCCUCCACGGAAGUUGAAGGUGAAAAUCAACCAACAGAGCAGAAACCACAAAAGGAUCAAACUUUAGACAAUGAAAACAUGCUGCCUGAAAAGGAAGGAAAGCCUGCAGAUGUGGUUCCUCUGACUGGUGAUGUUACUAUGGCAAAAGAAGCUUGCUGUGAAAUACAAGUUGAUGAAAAAUCAAGCAAGUGUUGGGGAGAUUACAGCGAUGGUGAAGCUGAGAUUGUUGAGGUUACAAGUUGAAGAAAACAAGAUUAUUUUUGGAUGGUAAGUGAUUUUUCAUAGCCAAGGGCUACAUAGCACUAUAGCUACAAGAGACAAGUAGUGAUAAACAAUGCAGAGCCACUAAAGACAGGGCUAAGGAUGGGGAAGUUUAUUUUGCAAAGUUUGUGACAUGUUUGACAGUAAACCGAAGUGAUGCGAAUACGUUCUGAUACGGUUGAUUUUGCAGCACAAGGAGGCUUGUCGAGAGACUGGUAUGUGAAAGGUUGCUGUUUCCCGGCGAAAAUCCAUAAUCACUAGUGUGGCAGCACCAUGAGCAAGUGCCCCGAGAACAACAAAUACAUGAAAUAUUUGAUGGCUGUGCCCUGCAAUAUCAAAUGCACCGGGCUUCCACCGCUCUGGUAUUCUGCUAGUGUAAACUGCAGCUCCCGCAGCGUAUAGAAAGGCCAUCGCAAGCUCAUAUCCAAGGGAUACGAAUAUGUGCGGAUGGCCCCAGUGCAGGGCAACUGCAUGUGCUGCCGGGAUCACCCCUGAGAAACCCAUUGUGAGGAAUA